AGGGUUUGAUCAUGGCUCAGAUUGAACGCUGGCGGCAGGCCUAACACAUGCAAGUCGAACGGUAACAGGAAGCAGCUUGCUGCUUCGCUGACGAGUGGCGGACGGGUGAGUAAUGUCUGGGAAACUGCCUGAUGGAGGGGGAUAACUACUGGAAACGGUAGCUAAUACCGCAUAACGUCGCAAGACCAAAGAGGGGGACCUUAGGGCCUCUUGCCAUCGGAUGUGCCCAGAUGGGAUUAGCUAGUAGGUGGGGUAACGGCUCACCUAGGCGACGAUCCCUAGCUGGUCUGAGAGGAUGACCAGCCACACUGGAACUGAGACACGGUCCAGACUCCUACGGGAGGCAGCAGUGGGGAAUAUUGCACAAUGGGCGCAAGCCUGAUGCAGCCAUGCCGCGUGUAUGAAGAAGGCCUUCGGGUUGUAAAGUACUUUCAGCGGGGAGGAAGGGAGUAAAGUUAAUACCUUUGCUCAUUGACGUUACCCGCAGAAGAAGCACCGGCUAACUCCGUGC
rnacentral:rRNA from 1 species